AAUGAACGCUGGCGGCGUGCUUAACACAUGCAAGUCGAACGAGAAAUUCCGACUUCGGUCGGGAGAGUAAAGUGGCGCACGGGUGAGUAACGCGUGGGUAACCUGCCUAUUAAUCUGGGAUAACUUCGCGAAAGCGUUGCUAAUACCGGAUAUUGUUCUUUAGGCUCCGGCCUGAUGGAUGAAAGAUGACCUCUUCAUGAAAGUUGUCGUUAGUAGUGGGGCCCGCGUACCAUUAGCUAGUUGGUAAGGUAACGGCCUACCAAGGCGAUGACGGGUAGGGGACCUGAGAGGGUGGCCCCCCACAAUGGAACUGAAACACGGUCCAUACACCUACGGGUGGCAGCAGUAGGGGAUAUUGCUUAAUGGGCGCAAGCCUGAAGCAGCAACGCCGCGUGUGCGAUGAAGGCCUUCGGGUUGUAAAGCACUUUUAGCAGGGAAGAGGAAGGACGGUACCUGCUGAAUAAGCCUCGGCUAACUACGUGCCAGCAGCCGCGGUAAAACGUAGGAGGCGAGCGUUAUCCGGAUUUACUGGGUGUAAAGCGCGUGCAGGCGGUUUGUUAAGUUGGAUGUGAAAGCUCCCGGCUCAACUGGGAGAGGUCGUUCAAGACUGGCAAACUGGAGAGCAGUAGGGGAAGGUGGAAUUCCGGGUGUAGUGGUGAAAUGCGUAGAUAUCCGGAGGAACACCAGUGGCGAAGGCGGCCUUCUGGACUGCAUCUGACGCUCAGACGCGAAAGCUAGGGGAGCAAACGGGAUUAGAGACCCCGGUAGUCCUAGCCGUAAACGAUGUGAACUUGGCGCCGGUUGGGUAAAACCGAUCGGUGCCGGAGCAAACGCGAUAAGUUCACCACCUGGGGACUACGGCCGCAAGGUUAAAACUCAAAGGAAUUGACGGGGGCCCGCACAAGCAGCGGAGCGUGUGGUUUAAUUCGAUGCUACACGAAGAACCUUACCAGGGCUUGACAUGCACGUGGUAGUGAAGCGAAAGCGGAACGACCCUUCGGGGAGCGUGCACAGGUGUUGCAUGGCUGUCGUCAGCUCGUGUCGU
rnacentral:rRNA from 1 species